rnacentral:lncRNA from 10 species
GCCAUGUUUAGAUUCUUUCCCUGGGAGAGUGGUUGAAUGCCAGGUCACCAGUCCCACUGGCAAGGAUGCUCAUCUUCAUAAUGAAUUCCACCUGCUGGGCACACCCACUGCCUCUUGGUGGAUAAAGGAGGGAAAUUUCCCCUCAAGUAAAAAUGACAUCUUCUGGAAUUUUUCUCAUCUCUCUGAAGUCAACUGCCUAACUCCCUCCACCACUGCAUUGGUCUCUUGGGUCAUGAUGGCAGAACAAGCUGUUUCUAACAGUCCCUUCAACAGGGGUGAUAUCACCAGCCAGGAAUUGCAAGGGGAGCUGUGGGCUUGACAAUGCUGGCAGCCAUUGCAACUGAGGAUGGAAUUAACAUGGAACACAACAGAGCUGGACGUCUGAGCCCUAAGGACGGCUUUUGGGAUCUCAAAUCCAGCUAUGCCUGAAGACCUAAAGCUAGAAGCUCCUGUGCUUUUCAGUUACAGCCAGUAAAUCCUCUUUUUUGGCUUAAGCCAGUUUGAAUUGGGUUUCUACACAGCCUGAAACUGCUAUGAAGUCAAAGGUAGUGUUAGUGCUGGAAGACACUGCAUGGAUAACCUCCUCAAGGGGCCACUUCACUUUCACCACCAAAUGCCCCUUUUCACCGAUCCUUGUCUACUGCUACCUUGUUUGAUAGAUUAUGUCUACCAAAAAUAAACAAAACCCGCAUUGAGAAUCAAGA